GGUGAACGCUGGCGGCGUGCCUAAUACAUGCAAGUCGAGCGAACGGACGAGAAGCUUGCUUCUCUGAUGUUAGCGGCGGACGGGUGAGUAACACGUGGAUAACCUACCUAUAAGACUGGGAUAACUUCGGGAAACCGGAGCUAAUACCGGAUAAUAUUUUGAACCGCAUGGUUCAAAAGUGAAAGACGGUCUUGCUGUCACUUAUAGAUGGAUCCGCGCUGCAUUAGCUAGUUGGUAAGGUAACGGCUUACCAAGGCAACGAUGCAUAGCCGACCUGAGGGGGUGAUCGGCCACACUGGAACUGAGACACGGUCCAGACUCCUACGGGAGGCAGCAGUAGGGAAUCUUCCGCAAUGGGCGAAAGCCUGACGGAGCAACGCCGCGUGAGUGAUGAAGGUCUUCGGAUCGUAAAACUCUGUUAUUAGGGAAGAACAUAUGUGUAAGUAACUGUGCACAUCUUGACGGUACCUAAUCAGAAAGCCACGGCUAACUACGUG
rnacentral:rRNA from 1 species